rnacentral:rRNA from 1 species
GAUGAACGCUGGCGGCGUGCCUAAUACAUGCAAGUCGAGCGAACAGAUGAGGAGCUUGCUCCUCUGACGUUAGCGGCGGACGGGUGAGUAACACGUGGAUAACCUACCUAUAAGACUGGGAUAACUUCGGGAAACCGGAGCUAAUACCGGAUAAUAUAUUGAACCGCAUGGUUCAAUAGUGAAAGACGGUUUUGCUGUCACUUAUAGAUGGAUCCGCGCCGCAUUAGCUAGUUGGUAAGGUAACGGCUUACCAAGGCAACGAUGCGUAGCCGACCUGAGAGGGUGAUCGGCCACACUGGAACUGAGACACGGUCCAGACUCCUACGGGAGGCAGCAGUAGGGAAUCUUCCGCAAUGGGCGAAAGCCUGACGGAGCAACGCCGCGUGAGUGAUGAAGGUCUUCGGAUCGUAAAACUCUGUUAUUAGGGAAGAACAAAUGUGUAAGUAACUAUGCACGUCUUGACGGUACCUAAUCAGAAAGCCACGGCUAACAACGU